CUGAUGUUUAUUGCAGCAUUACUUGCCAUAGUCAAAUUAUGGCAGCAGCCUAAGUGUCUAUCGAUAGAUGAAUGGUUAAAGAAGAUUUUGGGGCACCUGGGUGGCUCAGU